GACGGAAGGUGCAAGCGUUGUUCGGAAUCACUGGGCGUAAAGGGCGCGUAGGCGGUUAGGUAAGUCGGGCGUGAAAUCCCUGGGCUCAACCCAGGAACUGCACUCGAAACUGCUUGUCUUGAGUGCCGGAGAGGAAAGCGGAAUUCCUGGUGUAGAGGUGAAAUUCGUAGAUAUCAGGAGGAACACCGGUGGCGAAGGCGGCUUUCUGGACGGUGACUGACGCUGAGACGCGAAAGCGUGGGGAGCAAACAGG
rnacentral:rRNA from 1 species